GGUCAGCAUAGUUUAACCAAAACAUUAAGCUGUGGAUUUAAAGACAGGG
rnacentral:tRNA from 1 species